UACGUAGGGUGCAAGCGUUGUCCGGAAUUAUUGGGCGUAAAGAGCUCGUAGGCGGUCUGUUGCGUCGGCUGUGAAAACCCGGGGCUCAACCCCGGGCCUGCAGCCGAUACGGGCAGACUAGAGUUCGGCAGGGGAGACUGGAAAUUCCUGGUGUGCGGUGAAAUGCGCAGAUAUCAGGAGGAACACCGGUGGCGAAGGCGGGACUCUGGGCCGAUACUGACGCUGAGGAGCGAAAGCGUGGGGAGCGAACAGG
rnacentral:rRNA from 1 species